rnacentral:lncRNA from 1 species
AAUUGAACCAGGGUCCUCUGAAAGAGCAGCCAGUGCUCUUAACUGCUGGGUCAUCUCUGCAGUCUCCCUCAUCAGAGUUAUUAAGGAGACCAUUCUUAUGGAAAAUUCGGACACAAAAGGAUUAACCAGUGCUUCGUUUUCUAGACAUUCUAGGUGUCACACAGGUAUCUGACAUGGCACAUAACUAAGCAGCUAGUCCUCUCUGUGUGGUAACAUGUCUGAAUAAGUUUGUGUAGGGGAAAUUGAACCCCCUCCCCCAACAUAUUCCAUUCUGGGGACCAAACACUUCUGCCAGUGCCCAGGGAUCUGAAUACUUGCCUUCUGUUGUCUCAGAGAGAUAUCACCACCGUGGCCACGCUGGUGUCACCUCCUCAUCUGGUCUCCACAGUACUUCCAAGUCUCUCUAUUUCAGGGUAUCAAUCAGGUCCAUAAGUUCACUUCACAGGGAGUGGGAUUAGAAGGACCAGAACUCUCAAAGUUCUGUGAUGAACUUUGCACUGAAGACUGUGUAGGGGCUUGGGACAAAUAGCACUUCAAUUUUUCUAGACCUUGGCUGUUAUCGUCUUAUUCCAAUCCCUAUAGGCUUUGUCAUUAAGACCAUUUAACCUCGAAGAAUACACAACCUUGUGGUGUCAGGACAGUUGCCCUUGGCUGUAUAAGAAUAAGAACAAGGGUAUAGUUACAGUGUGUGUGUAUGUGAGUGUGUGUGAGUGUGUGUGUAUGUGUGUAGAUGUCGAUGUUUUGUUUUUGGUUUUUUGGUCUUUCGAGACAGGGUUUCUCUGUGUAGCCCUGGCUGUCCUGGUAUUCACUCUGAAGACCAGGCUGGCCUCGAACUCAGAAAUCCGCCUGCCUCUGCUUCCCAAGUGCUGGGAUUAGGAGCGAGACUGAGCAGGGAAACUGAGUCCCAGAGAUGCUGAUGAAUACUAUAGUUACACAACCAAGCUCUGUGCUUGUUACCCUGCCCAUGUAUGUGGACCUGUGUUUUCUUGGAGACAUCACUAAGUCUUUAUGGUGCUAUUUCUUUAUUAGCACCGUCUCUUUGGCUUCCUGAACCAUUGUGGGCUGUGGGCUGUGGGCUGUGGGCUGUGGGCUGGACUUGUGAAGUUGGUGUAGCUAAGCACUAACUUUGAAAACAAGAGACAAACGUGGUGAGAAAGCCAGCCACAUCACCUUCCUGCCAGGCUUGGGUCAGUGUUUGAUAGGCUGGGAUGAACAGUCUCUUAGAGCUCCAGCUUGGAGUCAUCUUUAAUCCUUUCUCUUCUGCUUUGGCUUCAAUGCAUCAGCAAGGAAGGCUCACCAAGUGCCCAGACCAUCUCCCAAUCAUUCCCUUUCCUUUCCUUGGUCAUGCUGGCUCCAACCAACACUACCCAGCCUAUUUUAUGGUAGUAGCCUUCUAACAGGACUCUCCUACCUCCCAUCCCCUCUCUUCUAUUCUCUAUAGGAUGUCUGAGGCUAUAUUUUAGAACCAUACAUUAAAGCUUGUCAUUCUACCUCUGACCCUCCAACAACUCCUCACUGCAUGUAGAAUAAAAUCCAUACUUCCCACCCUGCUGUGCAGGGCCUUUUGUGAGGGCUCCUGGCUCUCACUCCUAACAUCCCCCACCCCUUCCCAUCCUGCACCAGUCACAUCAUCUUCCCUGCUGUGUCUCACACUGACGAGUUUUCUCACCUCCGGACCUUCCACACUUGGAUGGCCCCUUCUGCCCUCAAAUCCUUGCAGGGUUGGUCCUGCCUUUGUCAUUCAGCUCAGCUGUCAAUCCAUCCAGCCAGUCUCCCCCAUCAGUUUAUUAGAGCUGGUCCACCCCCAGCCACUUCCUACCUACCUGUUCUCUUUGUUACAUUUAUCAAUAUGUAUAAUUAUCCUCCUGCUAUAUUUAGCUACAUAUUGUCUAUCUUUCUUAUAACACCAGUUCCACGAGGCCAGGGAGAGUGUGCUUGUCUUCUUCAUUGUUGGAUUUUCCAAUGCUUGACUCAUUACCUGCAGCACAGCUGUCCAAUACAUACUUGUUGACUGGGUGUAUAAUGAACAAGUGCACAGACAGGGGAAUAAGAGCUUUAGAAAGCGAGUAGGUAUGGAUGGGCAGAUCUGAGAAGGGACUGGAUAUAGCCGUUGCCCUUUUUCUUGGGUCUAUGGUGAAGCAGCUGGCUGGGUGGGAUCCCAGGCUGGGAAAGGGAUGACAGAAUAGAUUCCUCGGGACCCCAAGAGAAUGCUCACCAGACAGGGGAUCAAACCAGAUAAGAUUCAUGAAUCUGGGGCUUAGGGUUUUUGUUGUUGUUGUUGUUAGAGUUGGGGUUCUCAAAUCUUUCUUUGCUAAUAGGUAAGAGUGUGAUAAUGGGAGAGACUGCCAUUAAGGAAUAUAUUGGCAUUAAACAGGUCAGGGCAGUGGUUUUCAACCUCUGGGGUUUGCAUAUCAGAUAUCCUGCAUGUCAGAUAUCUACACUGUGAUUUACAACUAUAGCAAUGAAAUAAUUUUAUGGCUGGGGGAGGGGAGGUCACCAUGACAUGAGGAACUGUAUUAAAGUGUCCCAGCAUUAGGAAGGUUGAAAACCUCUCCUUUAGGAGACUGUGUCUGCACUCAGUUUUUAUUAGCUGGAUAUAGGAUAAUGUAGCAGUCCAGACAUAGAAUCCAUGCCCUGUUUAUAGACUCUGGUGCCCUCUUACCAGCCCUGUGACACAGAUGAGCAGCCCCUUAUCCUUUCUGUACCUUGGGUUCUGCAUCUGUAAGAUGGAGACGAGUGUGUCAUCCUCAUAGAGUGGUCACUAGGCUCUGUGGUGUGCUUCACUAGUGAGUAGCACAGCCUUAAAUGGGAACGGAGAAGAGAGGCAGAGUACUGGGGGCUGAGGGUGGGGAGGGGGUGGACAGAGGGAGGUAAUCAGGAGGCUCAGGUUUAGUGACCAGUCUCCUUUGCUCCUCCAUGUUUUUUAUUUGUGGAGGGCGAGAAACAGCUCAAUGCUGUGGGGAGGAAUCUGUCCCCUCAUCUAUCCCAUGGGACAGGAAUGGUGGCUGCCUGGAAGGGUGGUGGGAACCUUGGGGAGAUGCUGUGUGAGAACUGGGAAGCACAACACAUGCCAGAUGGAUUGCUUUGUGUAUUCUGUGUCAGUGUGUGGGAGCGUGCUCGCACGUGUGGGUGUGUGUGCAUGUGUGUGAAGGCCAAGAGUCAGUGCCGGGUGUCUUUCUGAGUCACGUUCUGCUCUAUUUUUUUUUUUUUUUGAGACAGGAUCUCUCAUUGAAGUUGGAGCUCACUGAUUCCACUAGACUGUCUGGUCAGCAAGCAAUCACCAGGAAUCACCUGUAACCGUAUCUGCCUGCCGUGACACUCACUGCCGCCUUGAAUUAUCUAUCUAUCUAUCUAUCUAUCUAUCUAUCUAUCUAUCUAUCUAUUUAUCUUUUUAUUUUCACACAAGCAGUUGGGAAUAUAACUCAUAUCCUCAUGCCCACGCAUCAAGCAUGUUCCUAACUGAGCCAUCUCCCCAGCUCUUGGAGUUUCUGGGUUUGUUCGGAAGCCUUCUCCCUCCUCCAGAAAGAGGAGUGGAACAGGCACAUGUGAAUUCACUCUGUUGAGCCUAGAAGAGGUGAAAGAGAAAGGCUGCCCAUUUUCUAGAUGUUCCUCAUGAGCUAUAUGCGUGUACCACGAAGGCUUGCUUGGACCCAGAGCUAGGGCUGACCUAACUGAGAUGCUACCCAGGGGUUUCUGGCUCACUGUGGCCACCAUGGCUCCACAAACCACCUACUUAUAACAAAAUAAAAAAUUUUCUACAAGGAUAUGUUUCCAUCUCUUGUCUGUUGUCCUAAACAAACCAUGGUGAUAUAGGACUCCAACCAUGAGGUGGGCUGGGCUGGAUGUGGGGGUGGGGCUUAUGCAGGCCAAUAAGAUGCAUGCAAAGCACAAGCACCUACUGUGUGCAAUAAGAUGCAUGCAAAGCACCAGCACCUACUGUGUGCAAGGGACUGUUCUAAAGGCAUCAGAUGUUGCUAUGAAUGACCACUGUCCCUUGUACCCCAACUGCUCACAGCCUGACAGGAGGACCCACACACCAGCAUGAAUUUCCACACCUUAUUCAUGUGUCCGACUGCCUUUAUUUUGAUGUUGCUGCAUCAAUGUCCCACUAUGUAGCCGAGGCUGGCUUUGAAGUUGUGAUUCUCCUGACUCACUGUCCCGAGUUGUGGGGACCACAGGCAUGAGCCACCAUACUAAGCAAUGGUUCUAUUUUAUGCUUUGAGGCAGAGCGCCAAAUAGCUCUGGCUGUCCUUAAACUUGCUAUGUAGUUGAAGAUGAACUUGAACUUCUGAUCCUCUUUCUUCAGCCUCCUGAGUGCUGGGAUUACAGCCAUGACCCCAUUGCCUGGUUUAUGGAGCUCUGGACAUCAGAUUCAAGUCUUUGUGCACACCUGCUGGCCUCCUGGGUCUCUCUCUCUCUCUCUCUCUCUCUCUCUCUCUCUCUCUCUCUCUCCACCCUCAGCUCUUAUUAUAAUUUUCUAAUUUUAUUCCUUUACCUUUUUGGCAGUUCUGGGAUCAGUUCUGCGCAUUGCCCAUGCUGGGCACGUGUUCUGCCACUGAGCCUCAAGCUCAGCUUUCUAUACAUCACUGUGGGCAUCAGAAGAGGAUGAGAUCUGGACUCCUGGCUCUGGCAGCAUCAACCUGCCCUGUUCCUUAUUUGCACCCCCUUGAUGCUACCUUUAUCAGAAAGCAAUGCUCAACCCAGUGGCUUUAUCUGAGUUGCUAAAUCUCUCCAAGGCUCACACUGUUUAGAAACCAAGGGGGUGGGGAGGGACACAUAUUAAUAAAAGAAACUCCUAACUCCACAUCGAUAUGGAUGGAGGAUGGAUCCCACAGUGUCUGGCACCAGGUGAGUGUCCCCUUAGGGAUGGAUGACACAUGGCAAGUCUGAAUAAUUACAAUAAAUGCACCAGAGGCAUUUGGAGUCAGUGUCUUGUCUGCCCGGAUCAGAGACAUUGGCGAUUUCUGCACUGGGAUCAAGCCCUUAGGGAUAAAAUCCAAGGACAAUGGUUCUUCAGUGUGAGGAGGGGUGACUCCUGAGCCCCUGGACCAAGUGCCUGUAUUGAACCUGUGGUGGUGGAGGUUCCAUCCAUUGCCCAGGUCAGGCCACUGAGUACUUAGCUGGAUAGAGGACAGGAUCACUGCCUGCUCCUCCCACUUUCCUGAGAGCCAUUGGGGAGCCACCAGGUCUCCUACACAACAUCCAUUUACCACUUUGCUUCUAUUUUAUUGUUUAAAAAAGCACCCUUUUUUUCCUUCUCUUUCUUUUUUUUUUUCUUUUUGGUUUCACUGUGUAAGCCCUGGCUAGUCUUGAAUUCACAGAGAUCCUCCUGUUUCUGCCUCCCUGAGUGCUGGGAUUAAAGGCGUGCACCACCAAGCCUGGCUUGUUUUUUUUUUUUUAAACAAACUUUUUUUUAGGUUUAUUUAUUUUAUUUUGUCUGUAUGAAUGUUUGCCUGUUGUACGUAUGUAUACCAUGAGCAUGCCUAGUGCCCAAGCAGGCCAGAAGAGGGCACAGGGGAGCCCCUGAAACUGGAAUAAGUGAUGGUUGUGAGCCAUGUUGUGUAUGCUAGGAACUGAACCCCGGAUCUUCUGCAAGAGCAACAAAUGCUGUUAAGCACAGAGAUGUUCCUAACCCAUCAUGCCCAGCUUUAAAAGACAAAAACAAAAACCUGGAGAGGUGGUCAGGUGAUUCAGAGCACUUUCUGAUCACACAGACUUGGGUUCAGUACCCAAUAUCCACAUGAUGGUUCAUCACUGCAAAACCUCACAGGAGUACACACACGUCGAGAAAGAGAGAGAGACAGAGAGAAAGAGACACACAGAGAGAGAGAGACAGAGACAGAGACAGAGAGAUAGAGAGACAGACACAGACACAGAGAGACAGACACAGAAGCAGAGAGACAGACAGAGUGACAGAGACAGACAGAGGGACACACAGAGAGAGACAGAGAUAGACAGAGACAGUGAGACAGAGAGACACAUCAUGGUGUAUAUUUGGAGGUUGGUGGCCAAUUCAGGGCACAGCAGAACCUGAGGGUGGAGCGCCCCUUUAAGGGCUG